UGUAGCUGAAGGCUGGGCCAUUUUUGAGAACUGCUGCUGGUGGUGCCCACCUACAGGGACACUAGGGCUGCUUUCACAUGCAGGGUGUACCCAUGGUGCCAAGCCAAGGGCCAGCAGCCACUCCUGGUGCCCUGGCCUGGGCUUGGGCUUGCAGAGAAAAGGGCCCUCCUUGCCCAGUGGUGCUGCCCACCUCCCUAGCUGUGUCCAUGGACUGCCCUGCAUUCACAGGCACAAGAAUGCCAUGUAGGCCAGUGCUGCCCACGUAUACAGCCCUUCCCACCAGCGCUGGCCGUCCUGCUGUAGCCAAGACACUACAGACCCGUGGGCACCUCCACUCGGACAGCAGCAGAUGCCCUGGCCCACCCGGAGAAGAAACCUUGGAGUCCUUGUAAAAGGAUAAAGGAAUCAAGAAGCAAAAUGAAUGCUGUCUCAGCAAAGUCCACUGCUACCUCCUGUGGCUCACACAGGGACCUCCAGAUGAUUGGAGCCCUGCUCACACUCUUCAGUUCUCCACUCUCUGCAUUCUUCCUCCCUGCUUCGCCCUUCUUCGAAUUCCCUGACCCUGAUAGC
rnacentral:lncRNA from 1 species